CAGCCGCCGCGGUAAUACGGAGGGCGCAAGCGUUAAUCGGAAUUACUGGGCGUAAAGCGCACGCAGGCGGUCUGUCAAGUCAGAUGUGAAAUCCCCGGGCUUAACCUGGGAACUGCAUUUGAAACUGGCAGGCUAGAGUCUUGUAGAGGGGGGUAGAAUUCCAGGUGUAGCGGUGAAAUGCGUAGAGAUCUGGAGGAAUACCGGUGGCGAAGGCGGCCCCCUGGACAAAGACUGACGCUCAGGUGCGAAAGCGUGGGGAGCAAACAGGAUUAGAUACCCGCGUAGUCCCUGUCUCUUAUAC
rnacentral:rRNA from 1 species